rnacentral:rRNA from 1 species
UACAGAGGGUGCAAGCGUUAAUCGGAAUUACUGGGCGUAAAGCGUGCGUAGUCGGUUAUCUAAGUCGGAUGUGAAAUCCCCGGGCUCAACCUGGGAAUUGCAUUCGAUACUGGAUAGCUAGAGUUCGGCAGAGGGAAGCGGAAUUUCGGGUGUAGCGGUGAAAUGCGUAGAUAUCCGAAGGAACAUCAGUGGCGAAAGCGGCUUCCUGGACCAGAACUGACGAUCAGGCACGAAAGCGUGGGGAGCAAACAGGAUUAGAAACCCCAGUAGUCC